rnacentral:rRNA from 1 species
AGGUGGUGCAUGGUUGUCGUCAGCUCGUGUCGUGAGAUGUUGGGUUAAGUCCCGCAACGAGCGCAACCCCUACGUUUAGUUGCUAACGCGUGAAGGCGAGCACUCUAGACGAACUGCCGUUGACAAACGGAGGAAGGUGGGGAUGACGUCAAAUCAUCAUGCCCCUUAUGUUCUGGGCUACACACGUGCUACAAUGGCCGGUACAGACGGACGCAAAGCCGCGAGGUGGAGCAAAUCCUAAAAAGCCGGUCUCAGUUCGGAUUGCAGGCUGCAAUUCGCCUGCAUGAAGUCGGAAUCGCUAGUAAUCGCAGGUCAGCAUGCUGCAGUGAAUACGUUCCCGGGCCUU